GACGAACGCUGGCGGCGUGCUUAACACAUGCAAGUCGAACGGUAAGGCCCCUUGGGGUACGACGAGUGGCGAACGGGUGGAGUAACACGUGAGCAACCUGCCCUUCGACUCCGGAAUAACAGCUGGAAACAGCUGCUAAUACCAGAUACGACUCAGUGCGACAUCGCAUCGAGUGGAAAGCCCUGGCGGUCAAGGAUGGGCUCGCGGCCUAUCAGCUUGUUGGUGAGGAACGGCUCACCAAGGCUUCGACGGGUAGCCGGCCUGAGAGGGCGACCGGCCACACUGGGACUGAGAUACGGCCCAGACUCCUACGGGAGGCAGCAGUGGGGAAUAUUGCACAAUGGGCGAAAGCCUGAUGCAGCAACGCCGCGUGCGGGAUGACGGCCUGGU
rnacentral:rRNA from 1 species